UUGAGGACAGACAAACAGGACACUUGAA
rnacentral:piRNA from 1 species